GAUCUUGUGUUUGCCAAUAAGAAAGACUUUGUAAGUCUUGAAAAAAAAUUGGCUAU
rnacentral:tRNA from 1 species